ACUCUCAUUUCUAGUUAAAGGAAAGCGAAAGUGAUACUGAACGACAACGGUGGGCAGGGCAAACCGAUAAAAAGAACCCACACGCGGUUAUAAACUUAAUUCAGAAGAAACGCUGUCCGAGAUUAGGGGAAUGACUUCCUGUAUAAUCGGCAGUAGAAGGUUUCACUUUUAAUGAGCCGACGUUACUUUACUAGCUGUGCUUUUAAAGCGUUCCUACCAGUAAAUUAUACGAUAUAAUAAACGGCGUAUAUACCAGGAAUGAAGUGUAUAGCAAGGAUAUAUCACAAUCUAUGGCACGGUAUAACCAAAUAAUUAUCACAGCUGGAGACAUAACUGUCUAUAAAAUCUUAUUACAGAUUGAUCACACACAGCGUGGGCAGGCCUCCACCUGAACAGAAGUGAUGGAAAACCCAAACCGAGGAGGGAGAGGGGGUCAGAGGGGCAGAGGGAGAGCCAACGCUGAGCACAGGAGAGGUGCUGGACCUGCUGAGGGAGAGCACAACAGGAGGCCCAGCCCGGAGAGAGGAGGGAGAUGGAGAGGCAGGGGGGACAGGAGAGGAGGGAACAGGGGCCACCUGCCAGACAACUGGAGGGAAGAUGGGCAGAGAGAGAGGAGAGAGAGGGAGGGCGAUGCCAGGAGAGGAGGAGGGAGAGGAAGGGGGGAGGGUGCAGAGAGAGGGGAGAGGGAUGCAGAUGGUGCAAGAGGAGAUAGAGGAAGAGGGGACAGGGGGCGGGGCAGAGGAGGAAGAGGGGGUGGAAGGGGCAGGGACCAGGGCGGGGAUGGCGAACCGGAGGUGCGCAGGCUGGGGUACAGGGCCCUGGAGGAUCUGGUCGGGAAAGAGCCGUCAGAGGUGGCCAUCACACUAUCCUCCAGCCCCGGUCUGCAGCUCCUGCUGGAGGAGCGGACUAUGAGCCACGGCCUGAUCCAGCUGCUCUGCCAGGUCCUGAGCAAGGCCGUCCGCUCCAGAACCGACCGCCGGAUCGUCCAGCACCUCGCUGGGGUGGUGAAGGACUCGGGUUUCCUUCGGGCGGUGCUCCCCCACUACGUCGUGGGGAUGAUGACGGACCACGGCCCUGCCCGCCGGGCCCAGUACCCCGAGCACUUGGACAACAUUGUCAGCCUCCUCUCGGACAUGCUCAGCAUCUUCCCCGCCAGCUCCGUGCAGGUGACCUCCAUGCUGGUGGCCCUCCUGAAGCCGGCCAUCAACGGGCUCCGGGCCUCAGGGGUGGACAUCCCGGAUCAUAUCGAGCAGAACCUGGGCAAGAUUCAGGGGCUGGUCGACCACCUUCAGGAGAAAGCCAGGGACGGGACCCUGAGGUCGGACAACUACACCUUCCUCACUCCCGAGCAGGAUGCCCCGCCCGGGGAGGGUGACUUCCGGACUAUGACCAUCUACCCCACGCCCGAGGAGAUCCACCAGGACCAGAAGCCCUUUCUGAGGCCCAACAUCACCUCCUGCAGCUACCCCAGUGUCCAGGUGUACUUGGACACCCACUUCCGGCUGCUGAGGGAGGACUUUGUGCGGCCGUUACGCGAGGGGAUCCGCGAGCUCCUGCAAAGCUACGAGGAGGAGAGCCUGGGCCAGGUGCCGGUGAGGAGGAAACGCUUUGAUGACAUCAGGGUUUACUUCGAAACCCGUCUGCUAGUGCCGCUCUGCACCCCGACAGGGACUGCAUACAAAGUCCAGUUCGACCCAACACCUCUAAAGUUUGUGCGUUGGCAGAACUCCAAGCGGCUUCUGUACGGCUCCCUGGUCUGCAUGUCCCAGGACAACUUUGAGACCUUCCUGUUCGCCACGGUGUCGGACCGCGACCCGGCCGAACUACAGAAGGGCCAGGUCCAGCUCAGUUUCUGCCAGGACAGCCGCCCGGCUCUGGCCGCGGUCCGGGUGUCCGACUCCUUCCUCAUGGUGGAGACCACGGCCUAUUUCGAGGCCUACCGCCACGUCCUGGAAGGCCUGCAGGAACUGGAAGUGGAAGACCUGCCCUUCCAGAGGUACAUAGUGGAGUGCCAGUCCGACGUAGCGCAUCCUGCCUACCUCACUACUGAGGACACAUACAUCUUGGAGUCUAUAGCGGCCCCUGGGUUUGCGUCUGAGUUGCAGCCCUUCAGUGUCCGGGACCCCCACGCCUGGCCCCCCAUGGAACACCUGGGCUUGGAUGAGUCGCAGAUGAGAGCCCUGAAAUUAGCGCUCACCAAGGAGUUUGUCAUAAUACAGGGACCCCCCGGCACAGGAAAGACUUACGUGGGACUGAAGAUCGCCCAGGCUCUACUGACAAACCCUCAUGUAUGGCAGCAAGGUGAAGACCACCUGCCCAUUCUGGUCGUCUGUUACACCAAUCACGCGUUGGACCAGUUCCUCGAAGGGAUCCAUGGCUUCCUGGAGGACGGGAUCGUAAGGGUGGGAGGCCGCAGCAACAGUGAGGUCCUGAAACGCUUCACCCUCCGGGAGCUGACGGGGGGGCCCGGGUUCCGCCGCAGCCUGCCCGGCCACCUGCGCCGCGCCCACUAUGAGAUCAGCACAGAGCUGGCCCAGGCGGAGCAGAAGAUCGUGCAGCAGGCCAGCCAGCUGGAGUGCAGCCUGAGAGGAAUCAUGCACGAGCAGUUCCUGGAGCGCUUCAUCUCCGAGGACCACUGGGACUGCCUGAGCAACCAGCCUAUGUGGGACGGGUUCGAGCACUACGGCAAAAAGCAGUCCAUGAUCCUGGAGUGGCUGGGGCUGGGCUCCUCCGAAUUCCAGAUGAGAGAUCAGCAGCCCAACGCUGAGAACGCUGAGGUUGAAGAGGAGGAGCUGGAACAGGAAGAGGAAGAGGAGCUGGUGGAGGUGGAGGAAGAGGCGGAACUGAUCCAGGCGGAGCGCAUGAUCGAAGAGGCGGAGCUUAACGGCAGGGUCGAGAGGAAGAAGAAGAGCAAAACGGACAUGGCGGUGCGGGCGCUGGAAGGGAUGAUGUUGGCGCUGAGCCUCAACCACACCGAGAGGGAUCCCGCUCCGAGCGCGGACGGCUGGCAGAUGCAGAAAGGUCAGAGGAAGAAGCUGAAGCUGCGGAUCCGCAGGGAGCUGGCUAAGAGCACGGCCAUGAGCGAGGAGGAGGAGGCCGCCCUGCACGACGUCUGGAGGCUCCCGCUGCGCGACCGCUGGAGACUCUACCGGCUGUGGCUCUGGCGCUACCAGACGGACAUGCGGGCGAAGGCGCUGCAGUCGGAGCAGGCCUACCAGGACGCGGCCGAGCGGCUGGCCGAGAUCCGGCUCCGGCAGCACCUGUGCGUCCUGCGGGACGCCCGGGUGAUCGGCAUGACGACCACCGGGGCCGCCAAGUACCGGCGGGCCCUGCAGGAGAUCCGGCCCCGCCUCGUCAUCGUGGAGGAGGCGGCCGAGGUGCUGGAGGCGCACACCAUCACCACCCUCAGCCGCGCCUGCCAGCACCUCAUCCUCAUUGGGGAUCACCAGCAGCUGCGUCCCAGCGCCACAGUGUACGAGCUGGCUAAGAACUUCAACCUGGAGGUGUCCCUGUUCGAGAGGCUGGUCACGCUCGAUUUCCCCUUCGUCAGGCUCAACUACCAGCACCGGAUGCGGCCAGAAAUCGCCCGUCUCCUGACGCCGCACAUCUACUCCGAGCUGGAGAACCACCCGUCUGUUCUGGAGUACGAAAACAUCAAGGGGGUGGCGACCAACCUGUACUUUGUGGAGCACCAGUAUCCCGAGGAGGAGAUCCAGGAUGGGCGGAGCCACCAGAACCGGCACGAGGCCCUGUUCCUGGUGGCCCUGUGCCGCUACCUCCUGUGCCAGGACUACCAGCCGUCCCAGAUCACCAUCCUGACCACCUACACCGGCCAGCUGCACUGCCUGCGCAAGCUCCUCCCGGCUGCGCAGUUCGCCGGGGUCAAAGUUCACGUGGUGGACAAGUACCAGGGCGAGGAGAACGACAUCAUCCUCCUCUCCCUGGUCCGCAGCAACCGGGAGGGGCGGGUGGGCUUCCUCCAGAUCGCCAACCGCGUGUGCGUGGCCCUGUCCCGGGCCAAGAAGGGCCUGUACUGCGUGGGGAACCUGGAGAUGCUGGGCAGGGUGAAGCUUUGGAGCGCCAUCCUCCACACGCUGCGGGAGAAGGGCCAGGCGGGGCCCGCCCUCGCCCUGCGCUGCCAGAACCACCCGGGCACCCGGGCCCUGGUGUCGCGCGCCGAGGACUUCCGCCAGGCGCCCGAGGGGGGCUGCUCGCUCCCUUGCGAGUUCCGGCUGGACUGCGGCCACGUCUGCACCCGCGCCUGCCACCCCUACGACGCCGACCACAAGAAGUUCGAGUGCGCCAAGCCCUGCGGGAAAGUGCUGUGCGAGCUGGGCCACCGCUGCCCGGAUCUGUGCUACCAACAGUGCGACGACUGCCGCGUGCGGGUGGAGAAGGUGGUGCCCGGGUGCGGGCACAGGCAGAUGGUGCCCUGCUACAAGGACCCGCUGGACUUCGUGUGCCAGGUGCCCUGCGAGAAGGUGCUGAGGUGCGGGCACCCCUGCGACAGGGUGUGCGGGGAGCCCUGCACCGCCCGCUGCGCGGUGCCCGUCUCCCGGCAACUGCGCUGCGGGCACCGGCAGGAGGACGCCUGCCACUACAGCCGCUCGCCCGCCGGCGAGCCCCCCUGCCGGACGCCCUGCGGCGCCACGCUGGCGUGCGGGCACCCGUGCCGCGGCACCUGCCACGAGUGCCACGGGGGCCUCUUCCACCGGCCGUGCGGGCGGCCGUGCGGGCGCCCGCUGGUCUGCUCGCACCCGUGCGCCGAGCCCUGCACCGCCGAGUGCCCGCCGUGCCGCCGGCCGUGCCAGAACCGCUGCGUGCACAGCGCCUGCCGCCGCUCCUGCGGGCAGCCGUGCGCCCCCUGCGCCGAGCCCUGCGCCUGGCGCUGCCCGCACCACCGCUGCGGCCGCCUCUGCCACGAGCCCUGCGACCGCCCGCCCUGCAACAGGCGCUGCGACAAGGCCCUGCCCUGCGGGCACCCCUGCAUCGGGCUCUGCGGCGAGCCCUGCCCCGACCGCUGCCGCGUCUGCCACCGCGACCAGGUCACCGAGAUCUUCUUCGGCCAGGAGGACGACCCGCUGGCCUUCUUCAUCCAGCUGGAGGACUGCGGGCACAUCUUCGAGUCCACCGCCAUGGACCACUACAUGGGUGCGGCGGUGGACGGGGGCGGGGACGGGGACGGGGGCGGGGACGAGCCGGCGGCCGUCCGGCUGAAGGAGUGCCCGCGCUGCCGCACCCCCGUCCGGCGGAACCUCCGCUACGGGGCCCACGUCAACCGCUGCCUGGCCGAGAUCGAGGCGGUCAAGGCCAAGGUCAACGGCUCCCCGGCCCAGGUGGAGAGGAGGCGGCGGGAGCUGCUGGAGCUCCUGCGGGGGAAGGCCCACCUGCGCCGGCACCUCCCCUUGGAGCACGCCAAGCUGCAGGAGCGGCUGAUGGAGCCGGAGCUCGGCCUCCGCGACCUGUGGGUGCUGGAGAACCGGGCGGCCUUCCUGGACGACCUCGGGGAGCGGAUGGGCGCGGCGGCGGACAUGUCCGAGGAGGACCGGCGGCGCUUCGCGGAGCGGGCCGACGACCUCCGGCGCUGGCUGACGCACCCGCAGACGCGCUUCUCCGAGCAGCAGGCGGCCGACCUGCAGGCCGAGGCGGCGAGGCUGGGCUGCCUGGCGCGCCUCAACGCGCUCUGCAAGCGGGCCGGCCAGGAGGCCCGCGCUCGGCCCGAGGUGGCGGCCCUCCGGGCCACGCUGGAGGGCACCGCCCCCUUCACCCAGGACGACGAGCGGGAGGCCAGGGCGGCGCUGAAGGAGCUCGCCGAGAAGCUGCCGUGCGGCGGGCUGGGCGUGACGGAGAAGGAGCGCGUCAUGAUCGUGAGCGCCAUCGGCCUGCCCAGGGGGCACUGGUACAAGUGCCCCAACGGGCACGUCUACGCCAUCGGGGACUGCGGGGGCGCCAUGGAGCGUGGGAAGUGCCCCGAGUGCAGCCUGGCCAUCGGCGGGGCCAACCACGCCCUGGAGACCGGCAACCAGGUGGCGACGGAGAUGGACGGCGCCCAGCACGCCGCCUGGUCCGAGGCCGCCAACAUGCUGAACUUUGACCUCGACCGCCUGCGGCUGUGAGCCUCCGCCGACUCGGGUGAAAACCUUCGCAUCGCAGUCGAGAAAACAAUGAAACGAUUACCAAAGCGAGGAACUCUUGUGUGUAAUUCCUCUUUGAAAACAUGAGGUGGCAGCAGCAGCACAUUGUGGAUGGAAAAAAACUGGCGUUGGACCGAAACACAAGACCUCUAAAAAGAAAAAAAAGACUAACUCACACACACCAAGUUACCAUGGAUAUAUUUUGUAGAUCGGCUGUGCAAUAGAGACCUACAUUAAAUGUGCAAGGGGCACAAAAAUAGUUUCGAUUUCUGCUUUUAAUAGGGUGUCUUGAGUUACUGAAGGAAACAUUUUAGGAGCACCUGUUUUACAAACCGGCGGAACAAGAUCAGAAAGCUCACUCUGUACUGAACGCAGAUGGUGGCUAAUGUAGUACUGCCAGAACUCUCAACAGACAACGUGUUUUUGUCAGUGAAACAUAGUACUAAUCAAAGCGACUACAUUUUGUCUCCAAAGAAAAUGAAUUCAAGGAUGGCCUCCUGCUAACACUGGAGGCACUUUGCAGCUGAGCGUGUCGGCUAGGGUGAUAAAUGCAGCCCUGUCACUGGCUAGAGCUACAGUGCAAACCGCUCUCUGCAGAAAAAAUAAACGAAUCCCUUUUGUGUGAUGAUCACGGGGAAAACCGACUAAAUGUACGCGGAUAACGCGGAGCGGGUAGUAAAGAUUUUUUGCUGUUUUUGGAGUUUUUUUUUUUCUUUUUUGGUGGGUGGGUGGGGGGGGCGCUGCAGAGAGAAAUGGUGAGAUCGCAAGAAAGCCCACUAUGUCAUCUGUCAACGGCGCACCUUUUAAAAGAUUCCCCCUCUUUUCCACCACUGGUACCAUGCGACUCUGAACAGAGAAGCACUAUUCUUUUUUAUUUGUACCAAUAAGGUCGGCGCAGUCGUACGGUGGAACAGUGUUUCAAAAGCCAAAAGGUACAGGCAUUAAAAGCCAGAAACACUCAUUUUCAUCACCAUGGUUAAUGUACAGGCGAGGAGUGGUUUAGCAACAGCGCUUCCAGAAUUAGCUCCAUGGUGAAAGAUCGACCUCUGCAUCCACUGUAAAAUAUCAAAAAACCACUUACCAUUCAACAAAGCAAAGAUAUUAACAAGAGCAAACUGCUCUGCAAAGAAGUACUGAGGCACCAGACAGAGGUUGCUAAUAUCAGGGAGAGCUAGCGCAUGAGAAGCAGGGAUCCUGCACGACUAAAUUCAGAGACCUACAGCUGCUGAAAUGCAAACAUCUGAAAAUGCCUUUGCAAGUGCGAAACACAUUGUUAUGUCUGCAGAAAUCAGAUUUGGCGAGCAAUUUUGAGCCCAAUAUCUAAUUUCAGACACGAAUCCUAUGGAAUCUUAUAGCAUUAGCGAAGGCUGACACAGCAAGCACAACUUGAGGGUGACUCCCCGUCUUCUGCUAUCUGGGGCCUUUAGCGAACAGUACCUCGUAUUGGGAUGACAGAUAUAAAGGAAGAUGCGGUUGGUUUAUCAGAAAGUAAAUGCUGACGAAGCAUCAAAAAAAAAAUGAAGAAAAUGAAAAAAUUAAGUUAGCGCUCAGCGAUACUAGCCUCGCCGUGCUGAUGUUGUGAUGAUGUUGCUGCCCGGGGCUUCUGCUUUAGCCUCUCGGAGUGAUGGCUGGCUUGACAUUCGAGCUCAGCAGGAUUUUUAUCUAAAUCUGAAGUACUCUUUAAACAUUCCGUUUACAUUUUAAAUAUCGCUUCCCUUACUGACAGAGAAAAUGUACAUUUCCUCUACAUUUACAGAGAACGUUGUAAAUAGGCAUAUGGUGUUUUAUGUCAUCACUGAUGCAGCAAGUGACCUUACUGUGACAUAUGGAGUGACACACACCAUAUGCCUAUUUUGAGUUAUUAAGCACUCAUUCAUUUCUUUGUGGUGCUUCUGAAAGAAAACGUCAGUGUGAAUUGUAAUACGUGUGCGCACACACGCACACGCGGCAACUAAAAUACAGGUAUUUUUUACUAUUGAUUGUACUGAUGAGAUUUACCACUUUGGUUGAGAAUAGAGUUUCAUGACUGAUCUGGUUGGCCCCUUCCUGAUUUCCUUUAUUAUUGCAUAUUUGUCGAACUGUAUGGCUUCAGAUAUUUUGACAAAAUGUAAUAUUAGAUAAAAUGAAACUGAGUAAACACAAAACACAUUUUUAAAAAUUAUUUCAUUUAAUGAAAAAGGUUAUCACACCCAUAUCACCCAUGUGAAAAAGUAAUUGCCACCUCAGUUACUCAAUCAACCAAUUAACUUAAUUAAAUUCAUAAUUAGAUUCAGCUAAUUGAACACAGUCAGGCUUAAUUGCAGCGAGCUCUGUUGACUCUUAACCUUACUCAAACUGAACCUUACCAUCAGAGUAAAGUAGUCACCACAAAGUUUCUACAAGCACACUUUGUCACCAUCAGAGGAAAUUCCAGCACAGAUGAGAAAAAAAGGUGUUGAAAUACAUCAGUCUGGAAAGGGUUACAAAGCCAUGUCUAAGUAUCUGGGACUCCAGUGAACCACAGUGAGAGCCUUUUUCUCCAACGAGUGAAUCCUUGGAACUGUGGUGAAUCUUCCCAGGAGUGGCCGGCCUGCCGAAAUUUCUCCAAGGGUACAGCGACAACUCAUCCAGGAAUGGAGUUUUCAAAGACGACCCGAGCCUGUCAGAACCCGAACGCGACCCAACCGUUGGGUCAGCUUUGGGCCGAGAAUUUAUGUUCAUUGAUUUGGUCAGGAGGUCAGGCGUUUUUAAUCACCCAAAAUUUCCCAUUUGCUGUAACUAACAAUACACUGAAUAUACAGCUUUAGCACUUUUUGACACUGCACAACACUAACUUGAUUGAUCGGAUUACGAUAUAUAGAUAUCCUAUCAACGGUAAGUUUUCAAUAACAAAAGCGAAGCCAGGAGAAGACGUGACAAGAUUUAUAUGAAAUUCCCUCUCAGGAGAGAAAGGGAAAGAUGUGUGUGUUGACUCAAAAAUUUGAAGGUUACCUGGUUGUUAGUUCCAUUUAUUUUGAAUAAAGUGUUGUAUGAUUGUAUUUAAAGUAUCACAUAAUAUUACAGGCAUUUAGCAGAUGCUAAUCCAGAGCAACUUAGACAACUGAAUGCCACAUUUAGUCUGCCAGAGAGGCGGAUUAGUCUCAGCUGUGGCGGCUGGUGGAGAGAGCACAUGCACCUGGGCUGCGUUAGCUAAUCAGCCCCGGUGCUUAAAGGUGUGCUGCUCUCCACAGGUUGGGGCUGAGACCGGAAGCUAACACCGAGAGCGAGUUUCUUUAUUUGAGUUGCGUUUCAUUUCAGUUUUGUUUCUUUUAACAAGACAGGGAAAAGUUAACCGCCACUGAAAAGUCAGAAGAGCGGCAAACUGAAAUAGUUGUCGUUCUGUUUUACUUUAUUUUCUCUUUGUUAUUUUAGUUUGUUUUGUUUUCAUUGUUUUUGCCUGGAACCUGUGAGGGGGAAGGGUGAAGAUGGUGUUUAUUUUAUUUCAUGUUUGUGUGGGUGCGAUCUCUUUCUCUCUCCAUGCGACAGACAACGGUGUUGCCUGGCACUGCCUCAUCUCCCUCCCAGGGGUGUCAUGCUUGGCAUGUGACAACAAUUUUUACAUCGCAUUUACAUUGCAUCCAUUUACACAGUGGGUUAUAUACUGAAGCAAUGCAGGUUAAGCUCAGAACAAACAAAGGAUGACAUAAUUAACAUUAGGUCAUGUGGAUGUUUUAAUAUAUAGCAUUUUGUUUUACUGAGGGCAUCCUUGAGUCUUGUGAUGUUCCUGCUCUCUUGUCUCCUUGUUGAGCUGUGUGCGUUCUUUUUUUUGGUCGGGUUGGGUCGGGUCGGCUCGGGCUUAGUAAAAUACAUGUGAUUUCUGGCGGGGCCAAGCUAGAGCUUAAAAUUCUUAGGCCUGUUGAGAACUCUAUCCAGGAAGUCCCAAAAGAUCCCAGAAGAACAUGUGAAGAACUUCAGGUCUCUCUAACCUCAGCUACGGUCACUGCACAUGACUCCACGAUAAGAGAGAGACUGGGCAAAAAUGGGAUUCAAGGGAGAAUAGCAAGGCGGAAACCGCUGCUAACCAAGAGACACAUCAAUGCUCGUCUCGCGUUUGCAAAAAAGCACCUGGAUGAUCCCCCAGCCUUUUGGAAAAAUGUUCUGUGGACUGAAGAAAGUGAAAGUUUUUGGAUGACAUAGGUCCCAUUAUGUCUGGUGAAAAGCAAAUGCAGCAUUUCACAGCAAGAAUAUAAUACCAACAAACAUGGUGGAGGUAGUGUGGUGGUGUGGGGACGCUUCACUGCCUCAGGACCUGGAGACUUGCCAGUAUUCAAUUAACAAUGAAUUCUGCUCUGUACUAGAAAAUUGUUAAGAGUGUCUGGUCAUCUGUCCGUGAGCUAAAGCUGAAGCGUAAUUGGGUUAUUCAAGACAAUGAUCCAAAACCCAAAAGCAGAUCCACAUCUGAAUGGCUGAAAAGAAACGCAUUUAAAGCUUUGUAGUGGCCAAGUCAAAGUCCUGAUCUGAACCCAAGAGCAAUGCUGUGGCAGGACUUCAAAUAAGCAGUUCAUGAUCU